AGCGAACGCUGGCGGCAGGCCUAACACAUGCAAGUCGAACGGAUCCUUCGGGAUUAGUGGCGGACGGGUGAGUAACACGUGGGAACGUGCCCUUUGGUUCGGAACAACUCAGGGAAGCUUGAGCUAAUACCGGAUGUGCCCUUCGGGGGAAAGAUUUAUCGCCAUUGGAGCGGCCCGCGUCUGAUUAGCUAGUUGGUGAGGUAAAGGGUCACCAAGGCGACGAUCAGUAGCUGGUCUGAGAGGAUGAUCAGCCACAUUGGGACUGAGACACGGCCCAAACUCCUACGGGAGGCAGCAGUGGGGAAUCUUGCGCAAUGGGCGAAAGCCUGACGCAGCCAUGCCGCGUGAAUGAUGAAGGUCUUAGGAUUGUAAAAUUCUUUCACCGGGGACGAUAAUGACGGUACCCGGAGAAGAAGCCCCGGCUAACUUCGUGCCAGCCGCCGCCGUAAAAC
rnacentral:rRNA from 1 species